rnacentral:rRNA from 1 species
UACGAAGGGGGCUAGCGUUGUUCGGAAUUACUGGGCGUAAAGCGCACGUAGGCGGAUACUUAAGUCAGGGGUGAAAUCCCGGGGCUCAACCCCGGAACUGCCUUUGAAACUAGGUAGCUAGAAUCUUGGAGAGGUCAGUGGAAUUCCGAGUGUAGAGGUGAAAUUCGUAGAUAUUCGGAAGAACACCAGUGGCGAAGGCGACUGACUGGACAAGUAUUGACGCUGAGGUGCGAAAGCGUGGGGAGCAAACAGG